GAUGAAGAACGUAGCGAAAUGCGAUAAGUAAUGUGAAUUGCAGAAUUCAGUGAAUCAUCGAAUCUUUGAACGCACAUUGCGCCCGCUAGUAUUCUGGCGGGCAUGCCUGUCCGAGCGUCAUUUCAACCCUCAAGCCCCCGGGCUUGGUGUUGGGGAUCGGCGAGCCUCCGCGCCCGCCGUCCCCUAAAUCUAGUGGCGGUCUCGCUGUAGCUUCCUCUGCGUAGUAGCACACCUCGCACUGGGAAACAGCGCGGCCACGCCGUUAAACCCCCAACUUCUGAACGUUUAACCUCGGAUCAGGUAGGAAUACCCGCUGAACUUAAGCAUAUCAAUAAGCGGAGGA
rnacentral:misc_RNA from 1 species